rnacentral:misc_RNA from 1 species
CUGACUAAGCUGCAUGCUGAGGAAC